CUUGGUUGGCUAACGGUUCUGAGUGGAGCAGCCGCAGCUCUGAGGCCCCAGGAGACGGGCCGGGACAUGAGGAUGCCAAAAGUUGGGAAGCGAGGUGAAUUCAAGAGGAAGAGUCACUCUCCUGAGCAUGGAAACCAAACCGUAAACGUCACUCACACAUCUUCUCCAAGCAUCAGGGCUCUGGCAAGAGAGGCUGUUCAUAUAUCCCACCAAUACUGGCUCUACCCUCUUGCCUCACAGAUCUGGUGUUAUAAAUGGUAGCUCCUCCACCCUACUCCACCCCAAAGCUGUUGGGACUCAUCACCAAGAUAUUUCCCCCAAGAAUCUGUCUUCAGUAACAAGAGGUUGCCCUCAGACAUCUCAGCCAAGAAAGGCUCGUUUUUUGAGCAUGGACAGAGUACUUUUGCCUCCAUCACAAAGAACUCCAAAGUAGCCCUCACAAGAAAUAGAAGCGGGACAGACGGUGUCACUCAUUUGAGAGACUCAUACUAACAAAAGUUAUUGUUUUUGUUAUUGACAGGGAAAGAAAGGGGACAAAAUCAAGUGGACGGGCAAAAUAUUUUCCUCCUCCUGUAAUGUAUACACCCAUGCUAAUUUCUGGUCCGUUAAUUGUGAAUUUGUUAUCACUGAAGCUUCAUUUAAAAUUUAAAUCUG